UACGUAGGUGGCAAGCGUUGUCCGGAUUUACUGGGCGUAAAGAGCGCGCAGGCGGUCGAUCAAGUCGCGUGUGAAAGCCCCCCGGCUCAACUGGGGAGGGUCACGCGAUACUGAUCGACUCGAAGGCAGGAGAGGGUAGUGGAAUUCCCGGUGUAGUGGUGAAAUGCGUAGAUAGUCGGGAGGAACACCAGUGGCGAAGGCGGCGUCCUGGACCAACACGUGACACUGAGGAGCGAAAGCCAAGGGGAGGCAAACAGGGAGUUAG
rnacentral:rRNA from 1 species